UGGACGAUGUAGUGGCCAAACGACUGCAGGCACAUGGUACUCCUGAACCGCUCAUGGUGACGUGGACAGGAAACAUAAACCGCUUCGAAAGCGAAUCAAAAACCGUACAGCUGAUGAUGUCCGCAAAAGGCUCCGACAGGAAAUUCUCUUUGACCAACGCUCGUACAGUGUCUGAACUACAGCUACCCAAGCAAAAUGUACGGUAUCGAGAAUUGAUGGAACGCUACACACAUCUUGCGGACGUGCCGAUUGAAGAGUUUCCGGAGGGAGUGCCAACUAUUCUACUUGGAUUGGAUAACCUCCAUUUGUUUGCACCAUUAGAGUCUCGUGUAGAUAAAUCGAAUGAACCGAUUGCCGUGCGCUCGAGAAUUGGUUGGACAAUCUAUGGUGUGGAGAAACGGAAGUGGAGAAACCCGGAAAUAUCGACGGACGGAAAACAAAAGGAAAAUAAUUCAACUAAGUCCGAGAAGCUGAAACAGGUGCUAAAAAAGUUCGGUGACUUGAGAUCACCGCAAGCGGAAGUUUAUGUUGAGAGUAAUUCCAAUCGGAAGGGUGUCCAGAAGUUAAGGGAGGUAACCCUGAGCCGGAAGUGGCCUCCGGGGCAGAGUUACGGGCCGGGGAAUGUUCUGGCAACCCUGCCCAGACGCAGCCGCGUCACAACCGACAUUUGGCCGAUUAGGUAAAUUAGCUGAUAUGAUGGUGAGAGUGAGUGAUGAAAUUGAAAAGCGAGGAGGAAACAUAUACGUUGAAGAGGUAAGGGAAAAUAUAAACAAAUGGCUGAAGUUGAGUAAAGUGGAUUGAUAGCGAAUCGUAGAAAUUUAUUGUGAGGGUAGAGUUGGAGAUAUAAUUUGAAUAAAGUGUUAGUGGCUGAGGUGAAUUAGGUGGAGUUUGGUCAGCAGAUCACAGUAACGCACACUCUGACGGACGACAAUACAGUGGUGCUCGAACUAUUGCGGACAGCCCACGGAAGAGUAAGACGACAUUUAGACGAACGACAUAUAAACGAGUAGGACAGACAGAAAAGGUCAAAAAGGACGAUUGAGACGGAAGACAAAGGAGCAAAAACAAACUAAAUUGU